GCCGCUGUAGCUCAGCGGAAAGAGCACGGUUGUGACACCCGGGGUCGCGGGUUCAAAUCCCGCCAGCGGUA
rnacentral:tRNA from 1 species